UACGUAGGGACCAAGCGUUGUUCGGAUUUACUGGGCGUAAAGGGCGCGUAGGCGGCGUGUUAAGUCAGCUGUGAAAUCUCCAAGCUUAACUUGGAACGGUCAGCUGAUACUGAUGUGCUAGAGUGCAGAAGGGGCAAUCGGAAUUCUUGGUGUAGCGGUGAAAUGCGUAGAUAUGCGGAGGAACACCGAUGGCGAAGGCAAUCCCCUGGGCCUGUACUGACGCUCAUGCACGAAAGCGUGGGGAGCAAACAGG
rnacentral:rRNA from 1 species